rnacentral:rRNA from 1 species
GAUGAACGCUGGCGGCGUGCUUAACACAUGCAAGUCGAGCGAAAAGACGAGGAGCUUGCUCCUCUCACGUUUGCGGCGGACGGGUGAGUAACACGUGGAUACCCUCCCUAUAAGACUGGGAUAACUACGGGACACCGGAGAUAACACCGGAUAAUAUCUUGCACCGCAUUGUUCAAUAGUGAAAGACGGCUUUUGUGUAACUUAUAGAUGGUUCCGCGCCGUUUUGGCUAGUUGUUAAGGUAACGGCUUUCCACGGCGACGAUGCGUAGCCGACCGGAGAGGGGGAUAGGCCGCACGGGAACUGAGACACGGACCAGACGCCUACGGGAGGGAGCAGUAGGGAAUCUUCGGCAACGGGGGGAAACCUGACGGAGCGACGGCGCGUGAGAUAUGAAGGUCUUCGGUUCGUAAAACGCUGUUAUUAGGGAAGAACAAAUUUGGAAGGGGACAAAGAGGGCGUGACGGUACCGGGUCAAAAAGCAACGGCUAACUACGUG